GCGGGUAUAGUUUAGUGGUAAAAUUUCUCCCCGCCAAGGAGAAGAUGCGGGUUCGAUUCCCGCUACCCGCC
rnacentral:tRNA from 1 species